rnacentral:rRNA from 1 species
UGAGUAACACGUGAGUGACCUGCCUUUUAGACUGGAACAACUUACCGAAAGGUGAGCUAAUGCCGGAUGAGUUAUAUAAGUGCAUGUUUAUAUAGGAAAAGUUGGGGAGACCUGACGCUGAAAGAUGGACUCGCGUCCCAUUAGCUAGUUGGUAGGGUAAUGGCCUACCAAGGCGACGAUGGGUAGCCGGCCUGAGAGGGUGGCCGGCCACACUGGGACUGAGACACGGCCCAGACUCCUACGGGAGGCAGCAG